rnacentral:rRNA from 1 species
AUACAGAGGGUGCGAGCGUUAAUCGGAUUUACUGGGCGUAAAGCGCGCGUAGGUGGUUAAUUAAGUCAAAUGUGAAAUCCCCGAGCUUAACUGGGGAAUUGCAUUCGAUACUGGUUAGCUAGAGUAUGGGAGAGGAUGGUAGAAUUCCAGGUGUAGCGGUGAAAUGCGUAGAGAUCUGGAGGAAUACCGAUGGCGAAGGCAGCCAUCUGGCCUAAUACUGACACUGAGGUGCGAAAGCAUGGGGAGCAAACAGGAUUAGAUACCCUGGUAGUCCAUGCCGUAAACGAUGUCUACUAGCCGUUGGGGGAUUUGAUCCUUUAGUGGCGCAGCUAACGCGAUAAGUAGACCGCCUGGGGAGUACGGUCGCAAGACUAAAACUCAAAUGAAUUGGCGGG